UAAACAUUGAUAUUUACACCAACAUUCCGCCAGGGAACUAUGAGUAUUUACUUGAAACCCAAAGGACUUGGCGGGGCUUAACAUCCCUCUAGAGGAGCCUGUUCUAGAACCGAUAAUCCUCGUUCAACCUCACCUUUUUUUGCCCUCAGCCUAUAUACCGCCGUCGUCAGCCUACCUUAUGAAAGACAAGUAGUGAGCAAAAAUGGCACAGCCUAAAACGUCAGGUCGAGGUGUAGCUUAUAAAAAGGGAAGAUAUGGGCUACAUUCUCUAUGUAUAGAGAACACGGACAAUACAUUGAAACAUGUAUUCGAAGGAGGAUUUAGUAGUAAGUAGAAAUUAGAAUGUUCAACUGAAUUAUAGGCUCGAAAGCAC
rnacentral:rRNA from 1 species